rnacentral:rRNA from 1 species
UUCGAUUAUGGCUCGGGUCAGACGCUGGCGGGUUAACUACAUACCGGUGAACGGCAGCACGGACUUCGGUCUGGUGGCGAGAGUGGCGAACGGGUGAGUAACAUCGGAACGUGCCUAAUGGCGGGGAUAACUACGCGAAAGCGUAGCUAAUACCGCAUACGCCCUUCGGGGAAAACUGGGGACCUUCCCGGACCUCCGCACUAUUGAGCAGCCGAUAUCCGGAUUGGCUAGUUGGUGAGGUAACGGCUCGCAAGGCGACGAUCCGUAGCUGGUUUGAGGACGACCAGCCAUACUGGGACUAGGGUACGGCCCAGACUCCUACGGGAGGCAGCAGUGGGAAUUUUUGGACGAUGGAAACCUGAUCAAUAGCCAUCCGCGUGUGCGAUGAUGGCCUUCGGGUUAUAAAGCACUUUUGGCAGGAAAGAAACGGCACGGGAUAAUACCCCGUGCAACUGACAGUACCUGCAGAAUAAGCACCGGCUAACUACGUGCUCCAACAACCAUGAUAAUACGUAAGUGCAGUUAAUCGGAAUUACUGGGCGUAAAGCGUGCGCAGGCCGGUUCGGAAAGAAAGAUGUGAAAUCCCAGAGCUUAACUUUGGAACUGCAUUUUUAACUACCGAGCUAGAGUGUGUCAGAGGAGGUGGAAUUCCCCACGCGUGUAGCAGUGAAAUGCGUAGAUAUGCGGAGGAACACCGAUGGCAGAAAGCAGCCUCCUGGGAUAACGACGCUCAUGCACAGCGUGGAGCAAACAAGUUAGAUACCCUGGUAGUCCCACGCCUAAACGAUGUCAACUAGCUGACUAGGCCUUCGGGCCUUGGUAGCGCAGCUAACGCGUGAAGUUGACCGCCUGGGGAGUACGGUCGCAAGAUUAAAACUCAAAGGAAUUGACGAGGACCCGCACAAGCGGUGGAUGAUGUGGAUUAAUUCGAUGCAACGCGAAAACCUUACCUACCCUUGACAUGUCUGGAAUCCCGAAGAGAUUUGGGAGUGCUUUCGCAAGAGAACCGAACCACAGGUGCUGCAUGGCUGUCGUCAGCUCGUGUCGUGAAGAUGUUGGGUUAAAUUCCCGCAACGAAAGCACCUUCGUCAUUGAUUUAUACGAAAGGGGCACUCUAAUGAGACUGCCGGUGACAAACCGGAGGAAGGUGGGGAUGACGUGGUCUCAUGGCCCUUAUGGGUGGGGCUUCACCCCACGUCAUACAAUGGUGGUCAGGACAGAGGGGUCGCCAACCCGCGAGGGGGAGCCAAUCCCGAAACCCGAUCGUAGUCGGAUCGCAGUCUGCAACUCGACUGUGAAGUCGGAAUCGCUAGUAAUCGCGGAUCAGCAUGUCGCAGUCGAAUACGUUCGGGUCUUGUACACACCGCCGUCACACCAUGGGAGUGGGUUUUACCGAAAAUAAAUUAGCUAACUUAAAUAGGGGCGAUUACGAUAGAUUCAUGGCCUAAGAGGUGAAGUCGUA